UAGUAAGUAAUGAGUAGUGAGUAGGGAGUAGUGAAUAGUAAGUAAUGAGUAGUGAGUAGUGAGUAGGGAGUAGUGAAUAGUAAGUAGUGAGUAGGGAGUAAUGAGUAGUGAGUAGUAAGUAGUGAGUAGUAAGUAAUGAGUAGUGAGUAGGGAGUAGUGAGUAGUAAGUAGUGAGUAGGGAGUAGUGAGUAGUAAGUAGUGAGUAGUGAGUAGUAAGUAGUGAGUAGUGAGUAAUGAGUAGUGAGUAAUGAGUAGUGAGUAGUAAGUAGUGAGUAGGGAGUAGGGAGUAUGUAAUAGUGAGUAGUAAGUAAUGAGUAGUGAGUAGGGAGUAUGGAGUAGUGAGUAGGGAGUAGUGAGUAAGGGAGUAGUGAGUAGUGGUAAGGGAGUAGGGAGUAGUAAGUAAUGAGUAGUAAGUAAUGAGUAGUGAGUAGUAAGUAGUGAGUAGUAAGUAAUGAGUAGUGAGUAGUGAGUAGUAAGUAAUGAGUAGUGAGUAAUGAGUAGUG
ensembl:lncRNA